rnacentral:rRNA from 1 species
GACGAACGCUGGCGGCGUGCUUAACACAUGCAAGUCGAACGGUGACGAAGAGCUUGCUCUUCUGAUCAGUGGCGAACGGGUGAGUAACACGUGAGCAACCUACCCUUGACACUGGGAUAACAGUUGGAAACAGCUGCUAAUACCGGAUAUGAACCUCACAGGCAUCUGAGUGGUUGGAAAGCUCCGACGGUCAAGGAUGGGCUCGCGGCCUAUCAGCUUGUUGGUGAGGUAACGGCUCACCAAGGCGACGACGGGUAGCCGGCCUGAGAGGGCGACCGGCCACACUGGGACUGAGAUACGGCCCAGACUCCUACGGGAGGCAGCAGUGGGGAAUAUUGCGCAAUGGGCGAAAGCCUGACGCAGCAACGCCGCGUGCGGGAUGACGGCCUUCGGGUUGUAAACCGCUUUCAGCAGGGACGAAACUGACGGUACCUGCAGAAGAAGCACCGGCUAACUACGUGCCAGCCGCCGCCGUAACAC